rnacentral:rRNA from 1 species
AACGAACGCUGGCGGCAGGCUUAACACAUGCAAGUCGAGCGCAUCCUUCGGAGUGAGCGGCGGACGGGUUAGUAACGCGUGGGAACGUGCCCUUUGCUCUGGAAUAGCCCUGGGAAACUGGGGGUAAUACCGGAUGUGCCCUGAGGGGGAAAGGUUUAUCCGGCAAGGGAUCGGCCCGCGUCUGAUUAGGUAGUUGGUGGGGUAACGGCUCACCAAGCCGACGAUCGGUAGCUGGUUUGAGAGGAUGAUCAGCAACACUGGGACUGAGACACGGCCCAGACUCCUACGGGAGGCAGCAGUGGGGAAUCUUGGACAAUGGGGGCAACCCUGAUCCAGCCAUGCCGCGUGGGUGAUGAA